AUACGUAGGGUGCGAGCGUUAAUCGGAAUUACUGGGCGUAAAGCGUGCGCAGGCGGUUUUGUAAGUCAGAUGUGAAAUCCCCGGGCUUAACCUGGGAACUGCGUUUGAAACUGCAAGGCUAGAGUGUGGCAGAGGGGGGUGGAAUUCCGCGUGUAGCAGUGAAAUGCGUAGAUAUGUGGAGGAACACCGAUGGCGAAGGCAGCCCCCUGGGUCAGCACUGACGCUCAGGCACGAAAGCAUGGGGAGCAAACAGGAUUAGAAACCCCAGUAGUCC
rnacentral:rRNA from 1 species